UACGAAGGGGGCUAGCGUUGCUCGGAAUCACUGGGCGUAAAGCGCACGUAGGCGGCUUUUUAAGUCAGAGGUGAAAUCCUGGAGCUCAACUCCAGAACUGUCCUUUGAUACUGAGAGGCUUGAGUCCGGGAGAGGUGAGUGGAACUGCGAGUGUAGAGGUGAAUUCGUAGAUAUUCGCAAAGAACACCAGUGGCGAAGGCGGACUCACUGGCCCGGUACUGACGCUGAGGUGCGAAAGCGUGGGAGC
rnacentral:rRNA from 1 species